CGCUAAGAAAACAAAAAUGGAAAAAGACCUGUCAAAUAUAUUCUUAUUUUAUGUUGAACACGCUAAAGAUACUACUGAAUACCGCACGUGUAACUCUUCACAAAAGUGUAAAUUAAAAUCCAUUAUUCUUCUUCGUGAGAUAUUUACAAAAUUUUUGGCGUGUAGAAAUAUGGAAGUAAGAAAACUUGAAAUUGAGAAACAUUUGAAUUCAAAGAGAAAUCGAGGUCCGAUUUUAGAUUUAAAGUUUAGAGACUGGAUUAUUUAUGUAAAUGUCUCUAAACUUUAAUCAGUAAAUUAGGAGAUACAUUUAUAAGAAUUAUAAGCUUCGCUUUCGAUUCAAAAGGAAUUCAGUUUGCUGCGUGCUCAAAGUAUAUAGCAACGUAAUCGCUCUGAUCUCAUCUGUAUAUUGUGUAACAUCAGGAUCACUUAGCGACAGAAUUUGAAAUCUUGUCACGAUACUUAAAAAGAGGAAUCCUGCAGUAACCGAUCGACGAGAUACGUUUGCCACGCGAUAUUUAUAAAGUUGAUAAGGUCUUAUGUAAUUAUAAUGAUGCAUACGUAAGCGUCUUUAGAAUAAUGAUUAAAAAAGCGAUAGUUACUUUUGUCUUAGAAACAAGGAUCUAAUUUAGAUCGCUGUAACAAACAAGAUUGAUUAUAAAAUCGUAAACGGUGGUGACGAUCGACAUUAACAUCGUGGAACAUAAAAAGGCAUGGGAUCAAGGAGAAAGGAUGGAAAAAACUGGUUUUGUGACAUAUGUGUUUAUUUCCUUGCGAGGAUAGUCACCUGCAGACUUUUGGUAUUUUAAUGUGUCUGUACAAUAAUGCUGAGAAGAAAUACAAGGACCUACACGCAAAACGUUCGAACAAGUUUGGAUCUUCAAGGACCUCCAAAACUUUCCAAAAGAUUUACAGCAUCGCCUACAAAAUCUCCCAAAAGGUGAUUGGAAUCAAACUACUGUAUUCGAUGAAAAUGUGAAGCAAAGUGUCUGAAAAGUGAAGCAGCAUUCCACGAUGUAAAAAUGAAUAAUUCAGAUCGAACGAAGUGACGGAAACGGCAAAGUUACGCGAUGCUCAACGAUUCUUAAGGUUCCGUGGCACGAGAUCUUCGUUUCGGUGCAAUAUGGAGAGGACUGAAAAAUAGGAAAGAGUAAACAGAGAGGCGAGGAACGGGAGAAAAAGAAUGUUUCAGGAAGAGGAUACUUAGCACUCGGUUCGUCCACAAAGUCCGCUGAUGCGAGUUAUGCAAUUACAUUUGUAAUGGGCCAACAUUCAGCUCCGACAACGCUGGCAAUUCGCGGUAAUUACUGUGCCGUAUCUCGUAAUCCAUUGCCGGGUUGUGUCGUCUACGAAGACACGAUUCUGCUGCAAAGGAACAACCGAUUUUUCGGUCAAACACCGAACACCUUCGUCUACAUUCCGGCACAGCGUCAGUCACCGGUGACCGACAUGGUCACUUAAGAUUGAAAUUGAAGGGUUUGCAGCAAUAAGUGGGCAGCUUUUUGCACGCUUUUUCUUACAUAUCCUGUCUCUGAAGAAAAAUCUGACCUUUCACUUGGUAUAAAAAGGAGCGAACAGCAAUAGUUAGGAAACUACAAUAUAAUACGAAAUGAUAUGCAUAUCGCAACCUGGAUUUGGAAAUUUAGCAACGUAGCCAAUGCACUGUCUUUUAUUUUCUGGACAUUGAACACAGCUAAAUAAGCGAAAGAUAAAAAUGCUGAGAAUGAUCAAGGAGGAAGCGAUAGCUAUACUUGUAGAACAAGGACGUAUUCGAAGUCUAGAAGGACGAUUGUAACACAGAAGAUCGGAAAGACGAGCAAUGUCGAAGUGGUACGGAAGCUCAGCAACCCGGGACACGUUUUCUAUUCAAGGCUCGACACGCGUCACAAGGGGAGUCGCGAAUCGAGUAUGGUGUUCUCAUACUGAUUUCACCUCCUUGACACGGUCAACGCGAGGCCACGUGGAAGUUAAAACACCAUUAGGUUCGAAAUAGAAAUCGAUGGAACUCUCAGUAGGUCUCGAGGACCAGAAGCUUAAUUUAGACCCAGUUCAGAAGGUUCAAAGGAAGAGAAGAGGAUAAAAACGCAGCUGAAGAGAAGAUGUAAAAAAACAUUGGUCAGGUAGAAGCGACUUGGCACAAAAAUCGUGCAUACAGGAUUAGGGGUUAAAUUAUACGGUCUGGACGGAUAUGGUUGCUUGGAGAUAAAUCGCGAGGCAUGGGAUAAUAAUUUGCUAAAUGUCAGGCAGUUUGUUGAAAAUUCUUGCCUAUUACCUACGCCAUAACUUCGAGAUCCGUCGAGAGCAUUGAAAGGAACUCACAAAUUACAUUAUUAGUACCGUCAGACACGCGUCACCAUCUUACAUGGGUACACACGAGCAAUGUGACCAAUUUGUACGCCAUCGAUGAAUGCCACUUUUGUCUACCUUCCACGUCAUUUUCCGCCAUCGAGAAAAUCGCAUUAAACAUUUUGUCGAUCGUUUUUUAUAUUUGCGAACGUGCACCGCGUUAAUCGCGUCUUUGACAAUUACGAGAAAAACUUCGUUGAACUCUUUGUCGUGUGAUUAUUUUUAAUUGUCGCGGUACGUAAUGCCGCUAAGAAAAUUCGUCGUUAAAGGAAUUGUAUAACAUUAUAUAAUUAUAAAUGAUACAACGAUGUUAUGAUUACGAACGGUAUAAUCUAAUGUUAUAAUUGGGAACGAAAUAUGUUCUAUGUUACGCUAUGAAAUAUGAGAAAUUCGUAAUAUAUUAUAUUGUUUAGGGUAUUUGCAACGGAUUGUAAUGAACGGUUCAUCGCAGCAUUGAAAUAUUACAUGUUAAAUGUAAAGCGCACGUUCAGCCUAUUUUUCGAAUCGGUCUAUCGACGCGAACAAGAAGAAAAUCGAAUCUGAAUUUGGAUGGAGAAAAAAGAAAGAACCGGUAGAACCUGUAUGCCGUUAUAUUUCGCAUAUGUUAUGUCGCACGUCGUUUUAUAUCGCAAUACGAAGGCAAUCGCUAUUAUUUAACUACUAUAUGUAAAAUGGACAACUAUAAUAGUCGUUUAUUUCGAAUAUAGCGUUUUGGGAACAACACUUUGGUAUUAAUCUUUAAAAACAGUUUGAGAUUUUCAACUCUAAAUUUAUGAACUUGGGUACUCGCGAAUUUGUAGGACUUGAAUAUAUUGUAACUUUCAAAUUUGUAAGUAACCAAGUGAAGACAGUGGAAAUUGUAAACUUACCUUC